AUGGGUGGUGCGGCCAUGAUGUUAUCGAGUUCUAGGUCCAAAGCCAGGUUCCUCCUCACACAUGUUGUGCGGACGAUCACUGCUAGUGACGACAAUGCCUACCGUUGUGUGUACCAAGAGGAAGACGAUGAGGGAAUUAAGGGCGCCAAUCUGUCAAAGAACCUCAUGGCUAUUGCUGGAGACGCUCUCAAGGCCAACAUCACGGCCAUGGGGCCACUUGUCUUGCCUACAUCAGAGCUGAUCAAGUUUCUUCUCGUCUCCUUGGCAAGGAAGAUGCUCCUUGGGAGGAGGAUAAGGCCUUACAUUCCCAAUUUCCGUACAGCGUUCGAGCACUUCUGCAUCCACGUUGGUGGACCAGCGGUGAUCAGCUCGGUACAAUGUGGCCUUAAUCUAUCAGAUGAGCAUGUCGAGCCUUCACGAAUGACACUGCAUCAAUUCGGAAAUCAGUCGAGUGCAUCUGUGUGGUACGAGUUGGGAUACAUAGAAGCCAAGGGUCGAAUGCUAAAAGGUAAUAGGGUCUGGAUGAUUGGUUUCGGAGCUGGAUAUGAAUGCAACUCCGCAGUGUGGGUGUGCAUCCGUACAUCUCACGGUGACCAUGGGCCAUGGGCUAGUUGCAUCCAUCGAUACCCGCUAGAUGUGCAGAAAUAA
rnacentral:rRNA from 1 species